CUGAAUCUUGAUCUUAAUUACUUGGUAAUAAUUUGAGGGUUCCACCGCUGUAAAGUGUAAACUAGCUCUUUCACCUCCAAUAUGGAUUACAGGUCACAUGGUUAUCCGAAGACAAUCUCCAAUUUGCCUAAUGCAUUACAAUUUUUAGCGGUACUUCAUUAUCAUCAUUGGUCUAAAUUAAGGAUAAAAUUCAGUAGGUGAAUUUGUCAGCUACUCUAUCACUUUAUAUCAAAAAUUUCCCACUUUAUCUUAUUCUUAUGGGCCAAUUACAUAUAAGUCCACUUUGAGACAUUUUUUCUCACAUAGAUCCACCCCAACAUUUUUACCCACAUAAGUCCACCCAAAUCUAAAUAAAGUUUUGUAUAAAGUAUUAAAGUUCAACAUAAUUACAGACUGCCAUCCAACAAAAAAAAUUAGAUUUUCUCCUUUAUAUUUACAAGAAUGCCACUAGUAUAAAAAGUCAACAACCAUUCUCAUUUCGGAACAGUCUCCGGCGGACCUCCGGCGAGAUUUCCAGCGGACCUCCGGCGAGGUUUUCGGCCGACCUCCGGCGAGAUUUCCGACUGACCUCCGACGAGAUUUCCGACUGACCUCCGGCGAGGUUUCCGGCCGACCUCCGACGAUGACAAAAAUUACUACUACCAGCUAAAAAAGCUACUACCACCAGCUAUAAAAGCUACUACCACCGCCUACAAAAGCUACUACAAAAGUUUCCGGCCGACCUCCGGCGAGGUUUCCGACCGACCUCCGGUGAGGUUUCCGACCGACCUCCGGUGAGGUUUCCGGCCGACCUCCGACGAUGACAAAAAUUACUACUACAAGCUAAAAAAGCUACUACCACCAGCUAUAAAAGCUACUACCACCGCCUACAAAAGCUACUACUGUGAGGUUUCUGAUGAAAACAAAAGCUACUACCACAAGCUACAAAAGCUACUACCACCGCCUACAAAAGCUACUACUGUGAGGUUUUCGACGAACACAAAACUACUACCACCAGCGACAAAAGCUACUACCACCAGCUACAAAAGCUACUACCACCGCCUACAAAAGCUACUACUGUGAGGUUUCCGAUGAACACAAAAGCUACUACCACCAGCCACAAAAAAUACUACCACCGCCUACAAAAACUACUACUGUGAGGUUUUCGACGAACACAAAAACUACUACCACCAGCCACAAAAGCUACUACCACCGCCUACAAAAGCUACUACCACAGCCUACAAAAGCUACUACUGUGAGCUUUUCGACGAACACAAAAAAUACUACCACCAGCCACAAAAGCUACUACCACCAUCUACAAAAACUAUUACCACCGUCUACAAAAGCUACUACGUCCAUUGAUUCAUCAAAUUACACAACUAAAUUAGCAGUCAGUGAUGCGUGAUCAAGAUUGAACAAGAAUAGAAAUGAAUCGGAAUACUCAUAAAACCACAGCCCUUGGAUCGGCCUGUGUCCUUGUCAGAAAUGACAACCGCCUCAAGGCGGUGGAUCCUCGAUAGAUCUGCACCUCACCGACGAAUCACCUUCGUCGUCACCGUCUCGAACUCAUAGGAGAAGGUGCGGAGAAGAAGAUGACGAGGCUGAUCGGAGAAGGUGCGGCCAGUGAUGACGGGGCUGAUCAGAGGAUCGGAAAAGGUAGAGGAAGGUCCACACACACUGGGGAGAUCUACUAAGGCGCAUAAAUCUCUGCUUCCAACGGCGGCGGGCGCCGAACAAGUGGUGGAUGACGUCGUCGGAGUUGGUUGGACCUUGUAGAUCCGGCUGCGCGUUGAGGAGAUGCAGUCGAGGUCGAAGCGGAGGUCGUCGAGGAGUCGUCGACGGUGGAUCCAGAUGUCAUCGUCAAGGCGACGGCAUCGUCAGAGCCGGAGAUGCAAUCAAGGCUUAGUCGGAAGUAGCGCCGAGGAGGCGGCGGCUUCGCCAUGGCAGUGGGUUCGCGAGAGAGAGAGAGAGAGAGAGAGAGAGAGAGAGAGAGAGAGAGAGAGAGAGAGAGAGAGAGAGAGAGAGAGAGAGAGAGAGAGAGAGAGAG
rnacentral:lncRNA from 1 species